CCACAUGGCUUGUGGGAUCUUAGUUCCCCAACCAGGGAUUGAACCCAGGCCCUCUGUAGUGAGAGUGCGGAGUUCUAGCCACUGGCCCACCAGAAAAUUCUUUUUUUUUUUUUUUUAAUGUCACUAGGGAGUCGUGGAUAUUUACAUUAUUCUGUAACUCACAACCCAACAGUUUUGUUAUUAAUUAUGCCAGUCACAUAGUUCCAGCUUUGGCCACUAGGAGCUCCUUCAGGUUGCCUCCUGAGUCCCCAUCCUUUUUGGAGCCAUUCCUUACUUUCUGGCAAUGCUUGGACUUUGCCUGACCUAGCCCUGGGAUCAGUCACUUCUUCAAGAAGCCCAGGAAGGAUGUUGCUAACAGGUGCGGCGGGCUCUUCACGGACUGCGCCCCGCUGGAGCCUUGUCAGGACCCCCACUUGUGUUUGGGUACAGAGUUUGUACUCAGAGGGGCAUGGCUGGGUCUCAGAGCGUCACCAGAAGGGGAUACUUGCCAACUGACAAAGGUCAUUCUGGUAGUACUUGUUUCAGUUCUGACGUUUUAUCGGGCAAGAAUUAAAACGUGCAGCUCAAACUGGCUUAAGCUAAACACGUUUCAGCGACUCAACCGAAAAGACGUGGCUGGACCCCAGGUGCAGUUUGACGAGGCUUCUGGCUCCAUUUCUCCUCAGAAAGCAACAGCAACAUCAUCCCUCCCUAACUGGAAGACCAGCCACUCAACAUUGUAGACGUCAGCGCAGUGCGCCGCUCAUCUGCAGUGUCCGGGCGGGGCCGCACCCAGGCGGGAGG
ensembl:lncRNA